ensembl:lncRNA myb-related transcription factor, partner of profilin-like
UGAAGAAUCCGGCCAGAGCCGCAGCAGCGCAGCGCGCAAAAGCGUUUAAUAAAAGGCCAGUAGGAAGGAGCUUUUGUGCGUUACGUGCGCCUGGUCGCUUUGAUUACCACCAAAUAAAAGGGGAGACCCCCCGGCCACCGACAGAAGUUAUGCAAGUCUGAAGUGGACACCCCAAUGGAGUUUCCCCAAGAGCUCUAUCCUCCCCAAAGGCCAAGAAUCAAAUCUCCCAUAUGGGGACGCUACUUUGGCUUCCAGAAGAACCAGUGCGGAGAAAUAGUUGAUGACGAAUAUCCAAUAUGCAAAGCAUGUUCCAGAAGAGUCAAAACAAAAGAGCCAUUGUGUUACAUUGAAGUCAGUCAGGCAGAGGGCCAUGCGCCAAGCAUCACGGGAAACCAAGGAGCUCGCUCAUGAUGCUGAGGACAGUCCCGAUGAAAUAAUGUCCUUGCCAAGAUUUCGCAAACACAAAUUCACCCCUGCAGAGUUAGACGUCCUAAUUACCGAGGUGACAAAGCAGGGCGAUGUGCUGUUCAGCCAGGGGAAUCUUCUCACCACUCGCGAGAAGUACAGGAUUUGGUUCACAAUUGCGGAGCGCGUCAGCGCCGCUUCGGGCUUGCAGCGUUCCAUCAACGACGUGAAGCGACGCUGGCAGGACCUAAAGCGGAGAACAAGGGAGAAAGUGGUGGAAGUCCGACGGAACCUUAACCUUGACAGCCCCUCCGCCUCCACUGUUCCUGCAGAUCACCGUGAAGACGGCAAACCGAGUGACCUGAUGGGAACGGCCGCUGUAAAGAUGGAGGAGGAAAAUACAUCUGCAUGCAGUCUUUCAACAGUCAUGUUUCUUGGCGAAAGUGCUGAUGGACCAGUGACAAGCCAGCAGAGCACCGAUGUCCAGCAAGCUACAGUCCAAGAGCUCCUAUCCCAGAAAAACUCUCAGACGCACUUCUCCACAACUUUAGACACUGGACCUCCCACUCCUAUGCCACUUUCACACCAGAUCAGAUAUGGCAGUGAAGAAGAUCUUCAAGACGAGGCUGAACCUGGCAGCUCUACAGGGUUAAGCGGCAACGUUGCGCCCUCACAUGGCCCGAAGGUCAGCAUGUUCUCAGGCCGGAGGACGGUAGGGUUUCCCGCAAGGUUCGCGUCCUUAAGCCCCUUUGAACAGCAACUUUUGAAAGCUCACCGGGAGCACACUGCCGCCAUCCGCGAGGGCUUCCGCUCUCUGGGCCGCCAGAACCGGCUCCUCUACCUGGAGGUCUGUGAGACCAACAAAAAUGUGGCCCGCAUUGCCAACUGCCUGGCAGCAAAGGCAGAGGGCGCAGCCGACGUGACUGAGGAGCUGGUCAGGAUCCAGCACAGGGUAGGAGAGAGCAUCGAUGCCACCAACAAUCUCCAGGAACGCGUGAUUGACCUGCUGGUCUCACAGCAGGAGCGUCCCGUCGUUGUCCUGCCUGCUGCGGGCAUGGACGUCAGGCCCGCAGAAGGGGAAAGCAUCGGCUACCAGUCUGAUCAGGGAUACCUGUGAGAGGAUUUCUACACAUUCACAUUUGAAUCGAUACGUAUGGGUAAUAUCCUCACCUGCGGCAAAUAAAAACCGGAGAAGUAGUACA